UACGUAGGGCGCGAGCGUUGUCCGGAAUUAUUGGGCGUAAAGAGCUCGUAGGCGGCUUGUCACGUCGGGUGUGAAAGACCGGGGCUUAACUCCGGUUCUGCAUUCGAUACGGGCAGGCUAGAGUUCGGUAGGGGAGACUGGAAUUCCUGGUGUAGCGGUGAAAUGCGCAGAUAUCAGGAGGAACACCGGUGGCGAAGGCGGGUCUCUGGGCCAAUACUGACGCUGAGGAGCGAAAGCGUGGGGAGCGAACAGG
rnacentral:rRNA from 1 species